UCAGUGUCUUUCAUAUAGGUCAGAGGUUUUUGACUUCACUGUGCCAUAGAACCCUUUGAAAGGCUGAUGAAUGAACCAAUUGUAAUAGAACAGUUGAUCUGAAUGAUCCGAUGGAUGCCAUUAGUUACAUCAAAGAAAGGCAGUUGACAUCCAGAACUUAGACAAGUUUCUACCCAAGUGAGGGGAUUAAGCACACAGAAGAAAUGGUGGAUCUAAUGCCUCAUCUGAGUGGUGAGUGGGUUUUUAUAAUUAUGUUGUCUUCCUAGAAGUAUAUUUGUAUCCUGUAUAGAAGAUCCUCAGAUCUUACGUCAGUGUUAUUUUUGUAUCACCUGAGGAAGUGUUUCUUCACAUCCAUUGUGCAUAUGAAUCACUUCACAUCUAAAGUAGAGCCAGAAGCUUGCAUUUCUAGUGAGCUCCA